rnacentral:ncRNA from 1 species
ACGGGAUGCGUCCCGUUGAAAGGAAUGUAGCUCAGCAAUGAGCCGAACCUUAGG